rnacentral:lncRNA from 1 species
CAGCGGCUUGUUCAGACCAGGAGGUACGGGGUAAAGAGAGAUUUGCUUUAAUAACGAGCAGGUGCUUAGAAUUAAUGCAGGGAAGGAAAAGCCUGUGAAGGGACCUGAGCGAGCCCGAAUCCAGGUCAAGCCUGAGGAGACGUCCAGCCAUGUACCACACAGUUAUCAGAUCCAGCACGCAUGUGGAGAAAGCCUGGCUUUUGUGAGGUAAGUGCGGGCUCGUUAGAAUUAAUGAGCUGCCCACAUGGUGGGCGUGUAGCCUAAUUGAUACUGGCCCUGGGCAGGGUUGCACUUUUAAUCACUAAUGGCCUGCAGCCUGCUGCAACCAUGGCCAGGAUGAGGCUAACUAGGAAGUGCCAGGAGACAGAGCAGAGCCACAGGGAGGUCACCCACUGCCCAGGAGGGGCCUGUCUGCAGGCACACAAGGAGCUCAGAACCCAAUACUGGCAGUCAUGCCUUCAGAGAGGCAGAAACGUCACUCCCUUGGUGGUCUUCAAUAUCAAACAUCUCAGUAGGUGUCAGGUCCAUCUGAGGACUGAGGGACACCUGCAUGCCGUUCUUUCUAUCAUUUAUUCUCUCAAACAUAUAUAGUACCUACUAGCUUUGCACCAGGCGCUGCAUCUGAGGGGACAAGAAGCAGAGGACAAUGACACAGGGUGAGCCGAGAACCUGAGUGUGGAAAGCCUCUGCUGGACAUAAGGGAGAGAUGCUUAGCACAGCUCACAUUUGUGCUGAGACCUAAGACAUGAGAAGGAGCAGACUUCACCAAGCAUCACAGAGAAGCAUCCUAAGCACUGGGAGCGGCAGGUGCGCAGACCUCCAGGGCAGGAAAGGUGUAUAUAGUCAUCUGUGGAAUAGAAAGGAGACAAGUGUGGAUGCAGUAACGUGAGCAAGACGGAGAAGGAUGGGAGAUGGAGGUUGGAGGUCAAUAAAGGUCAGACCAUGAGAAGUCCGCUACGGCCCAGUAAGCUAGUAACCAAGAAAACUCAGAAGCUGCCCUGGGUAUCACUAUAGUAGAGCGGACGUAAUUCGAGAGAUUGGGAACAGACAUGUUGGAAGGACUGGAGGAAGAAAAGGAGAUGAAGUUACCCCAAAAUUAGCAAUCCAGAAAGUCAAUAUUGGCCCAGUACUAGAAAAGCAAAUGGGAAAUUGUAGUAACAGUUGCUAUGUAGGAACUGAAUUGCAUGGGAGAUAACAUAAAAAUAAGUAAUGCAAGCCAGGCCUGAGGCAAGACCCUGAAAGUCCAGUUACCCAGGAGGUUGAGGCAGGAGGAUCAAAAGUUCAAGACCUACCUGGCUACCAGGCGUGGUAGGUAAUGCAUGCUUCUAAUGCCUGCAAUCCCUUACCUAC